UCUCAGAUGCUUGCAUCUAUCGAACCUCUUUUGAACAUCAGUGGCCAGACAUUGGAUCAAUGUCUGAGCUGCAUAGGCGGGACACCGCCGUCUUCGUUUCUCUUUCUUCGCGGACGAACACACGCUGGGGCGUGCUCGUGCUGCUUAUUGGCGUUUGAUCGCAAGGUCAUGUCGAUGAGCCGAGCGCAGUCCUUUGUUGUUAGGGCUUGUAGCUCAGUUGGUUAGAGCGCGCGCUUGAUAAGCGUGAGGUCGGAAGUUCAAGUCUUCCCAGGCCCACCAUAUUUGCGCGCUUUGAAUUGAAGCUGCUGCUGACGUCGACAUCACAUGCGCAAGCAUCGCAUCUGCAAAACGUGUUCUUUAGCGUUGAGCAUUCGUCUUCUGGAACGGGGGCAUAGCUCAGCUGGGAGAGCGCGUGCUUUGCAAGCAUGAGGUCGUCGGUUCGAUCCCGUCUGCCUCCACCAGAAACUUCUGAUGGAUGCUGAUGAGCGGUCGAGACGAAAACAACUUCAAGACAUUCAGUGUGUUCAGACAGUGCGCGCCACAUGGGCAGCGCCUGAUUUAGUCCGCGGUAUAACUUCGCUUGUCGGUCUUACGAGAUCGACUGCGGGAUUUAUGACAUCGUAAAGAGGAGAUCGUUCCGAGGUUCGGAUCUGCAAGCAAUUGCGGGUGCCGCAAUCAUAAUCUCCAGGAAUUGAGUGCGAACGCUUUGCUUGCAAAGCUUCCGCAUCUUUAUUCCUUUUCAACGAAGCUUGACCGCCUCGUUGUCGGUUCGAUCUUACGAAGCAAACUGGUCUUUCUAAAUCAUAUCCAGCUGCAUGAAGUGCGCACGGCUUGACCGCCGGCGUGCGGAUUUUGCGUUUCCAAUUCGUUGGUUAUGCAAAGCAGCGUGCAGCAAACUCUGCCGAGUGUGUGGAUAUUGAUAAUGAGAGCAAUCAAGUGUCUUAAGGGUAUUCGGUGGAUGCCUUGGCAAUGAGAGGCGAUGAAGGACGUGCUACGCUGCGAUAAGCUAUGGGGGAGCCGCGA
rnacentral:misc_RNA from 1 species